GUACAGUAGAGGAGUGGUAGAGGGAGAGAUGAAUGAGGAGAAGGAGGUAGAGGAGUGGUAGAGUGAGAGAUGAAUGAGGGGAAGGAGGUAGAGGAGUGGUAGAAGGAGAGAUGAAUGAGGAGAAGGAGGCACAGUAGAGGAGUGGUAGAGGGAGAGAUGAAUGAGGAGGAGGUACAGUAGAGGAGUGGUAGAGGGAGAGAUGAAUGAGAAGAAGGAGGUAGAGGAGUGGUAGAGGGAGAGAUGAAUGAGGAGAAGGAGGUACAGUAGAGGAGUGGUAGAAGGAGAGAUGAAUGAGGAGAAGGAGGUACAGUAGAGGAGUGGUAGAAGGAGAGAUGAAUGAGGAGAAGGAGGUACAGUAAAGGACUGGUAGAGGGAGAGAUGAAUGAGGAUGAGGUACAGUAGAGGAGUGGUAGAGGGAGAGAUGAAUGAGGAGAAGGAGGUAGAGGAGUGGUAGAGGGAGAGAUGAAUGAGGAGAAGGAGGU
rnacentral:lncRNA from 1 species